rnacentral:ncRNA from 2 species
AUGAAGGUAAUGGGAGAGAUUACUGUUUACCGGUGACGCCGAAGGAGUAAGCCCGCGUGAAAACGGGUGAAUCUCUCAGGCAAAAGGACCAUUAUCGGACG